AUGAAGAUCCAGAGCAGCGAUCUCACCCUGAAGACAUUCUGCAUGAUGGAAACACUGCUGCUGAUCCUCACUAUGGCUGCAGGUGGCAGUUUUGGGAAUGCAAUAAUUUCACCAGACAACCCUGAGAUGAAUGCUGUUGAAGGAUCCAGGGUAACUUUGUCCUGUUCCGUCUCCACAACACCCUCAAGUCUACAGUGGUAUCGCCACUAUCCCAGAUCUGCUCCAGAAAAUCUGGUGAUGUUGUACAAUUCAGAUGAAAGAUCAAAGAUAGAUCCUCGGUUCAUGGGAAAAGUUAGUAAGAAUGGAAGUGGAACUCAAGUCUAUCUGGAGAUCUCGCCAGUUCAAGUGUCUGACUCUGCUGUGUACUACUGUGCUCUGACGCCCACAGUGACACUAAACCACCACCUGCCAUUCAAAAACCUUGACUAG